AAAUCCCAAUUCUGCUUAACAUAAUGCUUUUGAUUACUUGUGAUGUCCAUUGUUGUUAGCACAUUUGAUCUGCUUCUGUUCAUGUUGAUGCAGGUUUGGACAUUACAAUGAUUUUGCUGGCAGGAUUUAGUCAAGUGGUCGUGUGCACUGCAGGUUUUAAGGUUGAAUUGUGGAACUCAUCUUGACUUAAUCAGGUUUAUCAUACAGCCAAAGGUUUCAGGUAUGUGUAGCAUAACAUCAUGGUUUGGGUUGCCACUUUCAUCUGGCUUGUGCACUGAUGUGCAAUCUAUCUGAACCUAAAGCUGCUAAAAUCCAUCCAUGCCUAUUUCCUGUGUCCAUGGUUAUUAGCACUUGUGUGGAUUGAAUGAGUAGGCUAACUUAUGAAUUGUCAUGCUGCCCUAUAUUCUGAAUUGUUGUGGCCAUAGCUAUGUUAAUGGCGAACUAUGCAUUUGUCCCAUGGUUAUAAAUUAAACUGUGAAGUGGUUGCAUGUGUUUUUGCAGGUUUGUCCAUUGCCUUAAUCCUGACCCUGCAGUUUAGCAUUUGGUCUGGUUCUGCAGGAUUCUUGGCUUGGGCAUUAUGGUGGUUUGGUUCUGCAUCAGGUAGUUUGUGGAUUGAUUAUGCUUGCCAUGAACAUGAAUGAAUUGUGUUGAAACCUCUUGCCAAGCCAUAUUUUAUUAGAAUUAUAGGUAUGUUUGGGCUACUACUGAGCUAGAAUGGUGUUGCUUGAAAUAUCAAGAUGUUGCAUCCCUAAGGAUUUGCACCAGUUGGGUUCAGUGAUGGUCCCAAUAGUUGCUUGCUGCUAUGUUUUGUUGUUGAGAAAAGCUAGAGAGGAACUCCCACUAUAGCAUAGUAGUAUGGUGAACUUCAUUUUGAUGAAGAUGCUGAAUGGGAUCGAUGGAGGGUUCAGGUACUGAUAGCAAGAAAUCCAUGGAGCCAAAACAGGUUGGUGCGGAAUAUUCGCAGCUUGCUGUAAGAAAGUUCAAAC